rnacentral:rRNA from 1 species
AUUGAACGCUGGCGGCAGGCCUAACACAUGCAAGUCGAGCGCGAAAGGUCUUCGGAUUGAGUAGAGCGGCGGACGGGUGAGUAACGCGUAGGAAUCUACCUAGUAGUGGGGGACAACCUGUGGAAACGCAGGCUAAUACCGCAUACGCCCUACGGGGGAAAGCGGGGGAUCUUCGGACCUCGUGCUAUUAGAUGAGCCUGCGUAAGAUUAGCUAGUUGGUGAGGUAAAGGCUCACCAAGGCGACGAUCUUUAGCUGGUCUGAGAGGAUGAUCAGUCACACUGGAACUGAGACACGGUCCAGACUCCUACGGGAGGCGGCAGUGGGGAAUAUUGCACAAUGGGGGAAACCCUGAUGCAGCCAUGCCGCGUGUGUGAAGAAGGCUCUAGGGUUGUAAAGCACUUUCAGCGGGGAGGAAAGGUUGUAAUUUAAUAGAUUGCAGCUGUGACGUUACCCGCAGAAGAAGCACCGGCUAACUCCGUGCCAGCAGCCGCGGUAAUACGGAGGGUGCAAGCGUUAAUCGGAAUUACUGGGCGUAAAGCGCGCGUAGGCGGAUGCUUAAGUCGGAUGUGAAAGCCCCGGGCUCAACCUGGGAACUGCAU